AGUGAACGCUGGCGGUAGGCCCAACACAUGCAAGUCGAACGGCAGCACAGUAAGAGCUUGCUCUUACGGGUGGCGAGUGGCGGACGGGUGAGGAAUACAUCGGAAUCUACUUUUUCGUGGGGGAUAACGUAGGGAAACUUACGCUAAUACCGCAUACGACCUACGGGGGAAAGCAUGGGAUCUUCGGACCUUGCGCGAUUGAAUGAGCCGAUGUCGGAUUAGCUAGUUGGCGGGGUAAAGGCCCACCAAGGCGACGAUCCGUAGCUGGUCUGAGAGGAUGAUCAGCGACACUGGAACUGAGACGGGGUCCAGACUACUACGGGAGGCAGCAGAGGGGAAUAUUGGACAAUGGGCGCAAGCCUGAUCCAGCGAUACCGCGUGGGUGAAGAAGGCCUUCGGGUUGUAAAGCCCUUUUUUUGGGAAAGAAAAGCAGCAGGUUAAUACCCAGCUGUUCUGACGGUACCCAAAGAAUAAGCACCGGCUAACUUCGUG
rnacentral:rRNA from 1 species